UACGAAGGGGGCUAGCGUUGUUCGGAAUUACUGGGCGUAAAGCGCACGUAGGCGGAUACUUAAGUCAGGGGUGAAAUCCCGGGGCUCAACCCCGGAACUGCUUUUGAUACUGGGUAUCUCGAGUCCGGAAGAGGUGAGUGGAAUUCCGGGUGUAGAGGUGAAAUUCGUAGAUAUUCGGAGGAACACCAGUGGCGAAGGCGGCUCACUGGGCCGGUACUGACGCUGAGGUGCGAAAGCGUGGGGGGCAAACAGG
rnacentral:rRNA from 1 species